rnacentral:rRNA from 1 species
AAUCAACGCUGGCGGCGUGCCUCAGACAUGCAAGUCGAGCGAUUAAAGCUCUCUUCGGAGAGUGCAUAGAGUGGCGCACGGGUGAGUAACACGUAAGUAAUCUACCUUCGAGUGGGGAAUAACGUCCGGAAACGGGCGCUAAUACCGCAUAAUGCAGCGGCAUCGCAAGAUGACAGUUGUUAAAGGAGCAAUCCGCUUGAAGAGGAGCUUGCGGCAGAUUAGCUAGUUGGUAGGGUAAUGGCCUACCAAGGCUACGAUCUGUAACCGGUCUUAGAGGACGGUCGGUUACACUGACACUGAAUAACGGGUCAGACUCCUACGGGAGGCAGCAGUCGGGAAUUUUGGGCAAUGGGGGAAACCCUGACCCAGCAACGCCGCGUGAAGGAUGAAGUAUUUCGGUAUGUAAACUUCGAAAGAAUAGGAAGAAUUAAUGACGGUACUAUUUAUAAGGUCCGGCUAACUACGUG